rnacentral:sRNA from 1 species
UUGACAACCCUGGAGACUGGAGUCCUCUUUGUAUCCAGAGAACAGGCGGGCAGUGGCGGGGCAAGUUUCCAGAGACUGCCCUGCUGGUGCGUCUCACUCCUGACCCAGCUUGGAGAGGGGAGUCCAUGCUCCAUUCAGUCCUUGGCCUCU